AUUUAAUUUAAAAUAUCUAAUAAUAAUAAAUUAAAUUAAAAAAAAUUAUUAAAAUUUAAAAAAGUUAUUAAAAUAAAAUAAAAUAAUAUUAUUUAAAAUAAAAAUAUUACAAUCAAAUAAUUUAAAAUUAAAUUAAAUAUUUUUACCUUUUGUAUCAGGGAUAAUUAAAAUUUAAUUAAAUCAUUAAAUCUCGAAAAAAAAAAAAUUAAGUAUAAAAAUUUUUAUUAUAAAAAUAAUAUUUUUAAUUUAUACUUAGAAACAAUAUAUUAAACGAUUUUUUUGAUAUCUAGUUAUUUAAUAAAUUAAUUUAAUUAAAUUAUAAAUUAAAAAUAUUUUAAAAUAUUUUAUUAAUAUUUUUACUUAUAAUAAAAAUUUAGGGGAUAAACUCUUAAUUUUUAAUUACAAUUAUAUAAUUAUUAACUUAAUAACAUAAAUAUAAUAAUAAUUAAUGUUAAUAAAUAUAUAAUAAUUUAAUUAAAAAUAUCUAAUAUUUAUAAUAAUUUAAAAAUUUAUUAAAUUUUGUUAAUUAAUAUAUAAUUAAUAAAAUUAAUGAUUAUAUAAGUAAAUAAUAAUUUUUUUAAAUAUAAAUUUAUAAUAAAAAUUUUAUUAAUGAAUUAAGCAAAUAAUUAUAUUCACCUGUUUAACAAAAACAUGUCUUAUUGAUAAUAAUUUUAAGUCUAAUCUGCCCAAUGAAAAUUAAAUGGCUGCAGUAUCAAUAACUGUACAAAGGUAGCAUAAUAAUUAGUUUUUUAAUUGAAAACUAGAAUGAAAGAUUAAAUGAAAUAUAAACUUUAUAAAUAAAACAAAAAUUUAAAUUAAAUUUUAAGUUAAAAUUCUUAAAUAUAAUUAAAAGACGAGAAGACCCUUUAGAAUUUUAUAUUAAAUAUAAUUAAAUUUAUAAUAUUUUAAAUAUAAAUUAUAUUUAAUAUUUAAUUGGGGUAAUUUUAUAAUUUAAUAAACUUUUAAAUAAUUAUAACAUUAAUUAAUGAUUAUAUAAUCCUAAUUUUUAGUAUUUUAAAAUAAAUUACCUUAGGGAUAACAGCGUAAUUUUUUUUGAAAGUUCACAUUUAUAAAAAAGAUUGCGACCUCGAUGUUGAAUUAAGAUUAAAUUAAAAGCAAAAAUUUAAUAUUUUAAGUCUGUUCGACUUUUAAAAUCUUACAUGAUUUGAGUUAAGAUCGGUGUAAACCAGAUCGGAUUCUAUCUUUAAAUAAACUUAACAUAAUUGUACGAAAGGAAUUUAUGAUAAAAAUAAUUUUUAUAUUUAUAAAUAUAAAAUAUAA